rnacentral:rRNA from 1 species
CCUACGGGAGGCAGCAGUAGGGAAUCUUCCACAAUGGGCGAAAGCCUGAUGGAGCAACGCCGCGUGGGUGAAGAAGGUCUUCGGAUCGUAAAACCCUGUUGUUAGAGAAGAAAGUGCGUGAGAGUAACUGUUCACGUUUCGACGGUAUCUAACCAGAAAGCCACGGCUAACUACGUGCCAGCAGCCGCGGUAAUACGUAGGUGGCAAGCGUUAUCCGGAUUUAUUGGGCGUAAAGGGAACGCAGGCGGUCUUUUAAGUCUGAUGUGAAAGCCUUCGGCUUAACCGGAGUAGUGCCUUGAAAACUGGGAGACUUGAGUGCAGAAGAGGAGAGUGGAACUCCAGGUGUAGCGGUGAAAGGCGUAGAUAUAUGGAAGAACACCAGUGGCGAAAGCGGCUCUCUGGUCUGUAACUGACGCUGAGGUUCGAAAGCGUGGGUAGCAAACAGGAUUAGAACCCCAGUAGUC